AUGGAGCAAGGGAUAAGUACAUAUUCUUCUUGCAUUUCUACAGCCAUUCUCUUGUUUAUUCCUCUGGUACUGAUAGAAGUCCAAGAGCUGUGGAUGCAUCUAUGUGCUUGUGAAUCCAUGCUAAAUUGGAAUGGAGUACAUUUUUUUUUAAAACAAGUCAGUUACUUAAUUAUCAGCAAGCAACAACAUGAUGAAGAGAUUACAACAACAACAGUCGCUACAGAUCAAUCGACAGGGGAAGAACAGCAGAAGACCAGAGAUUAUUGUACCUUCUUCUUCAGAGAAGAUCAGCAGCGAAGAACAGCAGGUCAGCACGAGCAUGAGCUCCACCGGCAAGCAUGCAGCGUGGGCGAGCGUGCACGCACCCGAGCGUGGGUGAUACUCCAAUGGCAGCGGCGCCGGUUUUUGGUCACCGGAGGAGCUACUGACGAGCUCCAAUGGCAGCAAGCGGCAGACCACCACGGCCAGGAGAACCAGCAACCAAUUGACAGGGGAAAAGUGACCUGGAGGACCCGAAGAUCACCCUGA
rnacentral:rRNA from 1 species